ensembl:snRNA U6 U6 spliceosomal RNA
GUGCUCACUUCCAUAGCACAUACACUAAAAUUGAAACAAUACAGAGAAGAUAAGUAUACCCAUGCCCAAGAAUGAUACAUAAAUUCAUGAAGUAUUCCAUAUUUUU